rnacentral:rRNA from 1 species
UACGUAGGGGGCAAGCGUUGUCCGGAAUCAUUGGGCGUAAAGCGCGUGUAGGCGGUCCGGUAAGUCCGCUGUGAAAGUCGGGGGCUCAACCCUCGGAUGCCGGUGGAUACUGCCGGGCUUGAGUUCGGGAGAGGGAAGCGGAAUUCCGGGUGUAGCGGUGAAAUGCGUAGAUAUCCGGAGGAACACCGGUGGCGAAGGCGGCUUCCUGGACCGACACUGACGCUGAGGCGCGAAAGCUAGGGGAGCAAACGGG